rnacentral:rRNA from 1 species
GACGAACGCUGGCGGCGUGCUUAACACAUGCAAGUCGAACGGAAAGGCCCUGCUUUUGUGGGGUGCUCGAGUGGCGAACGGGUGAGUAACACGUGAGUAACCUGCCCUUGACUUUGGGAUAACUUAAGGAAACUGGGGCUAAUACCGGAUAGGAGCUCCUGCUGCAUGGUGGGGGUUGGAAAGUUUCGGCGGUUGGGGAUGGACUCGCGGCUUAUCAGCUUGUUGGUGGGGUAGUGGCUUACCAAGGCUUUGACGGGUAGCCGGCCGGAGAGGGUGACCGGCCACAUUGGGACUGAGAUACGGCCCAGACUCCUACGGGAGGCAGCAGUGGGGAAUAUUGCACAAUGGGCGGAAGCCUGAUGCAGCAACGCCGCGGGCGGGAUGACGGCCUUCGGGUUGUAAACCGCUUUCGCCUGUGACGAAGCGUGAGUGACGGUAAUGGGUAAAGAAGCACCGGCUAACUACGUG